UCAGAUGCUGAAUUUCUCCAGCAUUUUCUGUUUCAAUCUGCCACCCUUACCUGGUUUGGCUUAUAUGUCGUUCCAGACUCAGAGAAAUCCUUAGUGUAACAUCUAGGAAUGUUCCAAAAACAAAAUCGGAAACAGAGAUAAUCUCAAUUAACAGGAAAUAUGGAUCAUAUACAACUUGCCACUCUUCAGUGCAGAUACAGACUUCUUUAGCAUCUGAGC